AAGUCGUAACAAGGUUUCCGUAGGUGAACCUGCGGAAGGAUCAUUACCAAAACAGGUCUUUGACCUUCACCCCUUGUGCAUUGUAAACUGUCUUUGUGAGGUUUUCAUGAUGGUGACUUAAACAUUACCAACUUGCAAGCCUCGCAUCCCUUAUGCUAUACCCCUUAACCAACUUUGUGAUGGUGGAUUUUAAAAAAUAACAAAAGACAACUUUUAACGGUGGAUCUCUUGGCUCAU
rnacentral:misc_RNA from 1 species